rnacentral:rRNA from 1 species
CACUCCUGCGGGAGGCAGCAGUGGGGAAUAUUGCACAAUGGGCGCAAGCCUGAUGCAGCCAUGCCGCGUGUGUGAAGAAGGCCUUCGGGUUGUAAAGCACUUUCAGCGGGGAGGAAGGCGAUACGGUUAAUAACCGUGUUGAUUGACGUUACCCGCAGAAGAAGCACCGGCUAACUCCGUGCCAGCAGCCGCGGUAAUACGGAGGGUGCAAGCGUUAAUCGGAAUUACUGGGCGUAAAGCGCACGCAGGCGGUCUGUCAAGUCGGAUGUGAAAUCCCCGGGCUCAACCUGGGAACUGCAUUCGAAACUGGCAGGCUUGAGUCUUGUAGAGGGGGGUAGAAUUCCAGGUGUAGCGGUGAAAUGCGUAGAGAUCUGGAGGAAUACCGGUGGCGAAGGCGGCCCCCUGGACAAAGACUGACGCUCAGGUGCGAAAGCGUGGGGAGCAAACAGGAUUAGAUACCCCUGUAGUCCC